rnacentral:ncRNA from 1 species
UAAAUUCUUCGGGGCAGGGUGUAAAUCCCGACCGAUGGUAAAUGGUUAGCCGCAACCUAAGCUAAUCAAAGUCCAUGAGCUGCGUUUUCGUGGUUGAUCUAGUGCGAUUCUAGAACCGACAGUAAAAGUCUGGAUGGGAGAAGAAUAGA